rnacentral:rRNA from 1 species
UACGUAGGGUGCAAGCGUUGUCCGGAAUUAUUGGGCGUAAAGAGCUCGUAGGCGGUCUGUCGCGUCGGCUGUGAAAACCCGGGGCUCAACCCCGGGCCUGCAGUCGAUACGGGCAGACUAGAGUGUGGUAGGGGAGACUGGAAUUCCUGGUGUAGCGGUGAAAUGCGCAGAUAUCAGGAAGAACACCCGUGGCGAAGGCGGCUCUCUGGGACGGUACUGACGCUGAGACGCGAAAGCGUGGGGAGCGAACAGG